rnacentral:rRNA from 1 species
AUUGAACGCUGGCGGCAGGCCUAACACAUGCAAGUCGAACGAGUGGCGGACGGGUGAGUAAUGUCUGGGAAACUGCCUGAUGGAGGGGGAUAACUACUGGAAACGGUAGCUAAUACCGCAUACCAUCGGAUGUGCCCAGAUGGGAUUAGCUAGUAGGUGGGGUAAAGGCUCACCAAGGCAACGAUCCCUAGCUGGUCUGAGAGGACGACCAGCCACACUGGAACUGAGACACGGCCCAGACUCCUACGGGAGGCAGCAGUGGGGAAUAUUGCACAAUGGGCGCAAUCCUGAUGCAGCCAUGCCGCGUGUAUGAUGAAGGCCUUCGGGUUGUAAAGUACUUUUAGCGGGGAGGCGGUACCCGCAGAAUAAGCACCGGCUAACUCCGUGCCAGCAGCCGCGGUAAUUC